UUCUCUAGCUCUCUCCUCACCACAGCAGCACUCGAGCAGCAGGCAGCAGUGUUCUUUUGUGCCCUUAUUAUUCUAUGCAUAUUUCCCCAGUCAAAGAUAGAUCUAGACCUGGCAACACACAGAUGCAGUACUACUGGGCCACAUGUGGGCAUGGGGAUAGGUCAUGUGAUGUACUCACAAUAUGUCUACCACACAAACAUAUGAUUAAAGCAACCUUGUCAUAUGUGGAACAGAAUCUUCCAUAAUAUUCAAACUCCACACCCAAUCCACACUGCAUGCGCGCUGAAGCAAAUAGUUGUGUUGUGUCACACACAUGCCCUGCUGCUUGCCUCAGUAAUGUACUACCAUUGCAUCUACUACUACUCCAUCUCUGCACCCCCGGCCCUCCAGCUUGAAAUUGAACUAUCUGCUGCCUUCUUGUCUUGCUAGCUAGCAGGAUCGUCGGAGUAGUUUCUUCGAAUGAACUCGUCCUUCUGGUUUUCUUUUGUUUAUUUGUUUUUGUUCAUCGUCCUUUAGAGAGGAGGAUAGUACAUGCAAUAUAAUAGCUUUUGCACAAGCAGUAGGCUGCCAUAUGGGCAGUGUGUACCAAAUUGUACUGAAAUAUAUAGGUCAUGCAGACACAGUAGCUGGCGGAG
rnacentral:lncRNA from 7 species